GCACCUAGUGGCUAUGACGUCAGCCUCACAAGCUGAAGGUCGCCAGUUCGAUCCUGGCCAGGUGUA
rnacentral:tRNA from 1 species